rnacentral:rRNA from 1 species
GACGAACGCUGGCGGCGUGCUUAACACAUGCAAGUCGAACGAGAAUCUGUGGAAAGAGGAUUCGUCCAAUUGAAGCAGAGGACAGUGGCGGACGGGUGAGUAACGCGUGAGGAACCUGCCUUUCAGAGGGGGACAACAGUUGGAAACGACUGCUAAUACCGCAUAACAUAUAGAUGUCGCAUGGCAUUUAUAUCAAAGAUUUAUCGCUGAAAGAUGGCCUCGCGUCUGAUUAGCUAGUUGGUGAGGUAACGGCCCACCAAGGCGACGAUCAGUAGCCGGACUGAGAGGUUGAACGGCCACAUUGGGACUGAGAUACGGCCCAGACUCCUACGGGAGGCAGCAGUGGGGAAUAUUGGGCAAUGGGCGCAAGCCUGACCCAGCAACGCCGCGU